AGUGAACGCUGGCGGUAGGCCUAACACAUGCAAGUCGAACGGCAGCACAGUAAGAGCUUGCUCGUACGGGUGGCGAGUGGCGGACGGGUGAGGAAUACAUCGGAAUCUACUUUUUCGUGGGGGGUAACGUAGGGAAACUUACGCUAAUACCGCAUACGACCUACGGGUGAAAGCAGGGGAUUUUCGGACCUUGCGCGAUUGUAUGAGCCGAUGUCGGAUUAGCUAGUUGGCAGGGUAAAGGGCUACCAAGGCGACGAUCCAUAGCUGGGCUGAGAGAAUGAUCAGACACACUGGGACGGAGACACGGCCCAGACUCUUAGGGGAGGCAGCAGUGGGGAAUAUUGGACAAUGGGCGAGAGCAUGAUCCAGCAAUGCUGCGUGAGUGAUGAUGGCCUUAGGGUUGUAAAGCUCUUUUACCCGGGAUGAUAAUGACAGUACCGGGAGAAUAAGCUCUGGCUAACUCCGUG
rnacentral:rRNA from 1 species